rnacentral:tRNA from 1 species
GGAGAGUUGUCCGAGCGGCCGAAGGAGACGGUCUUGAAAACCGUUAUACCCUCACGGGUAUCAAGGGUUCGAAUCCCUUACUCUCCG